ensembl:lncRNA
AAAAGAGGCCAUAGAGACUAGAACUAACAAUCUGCAGCUGGCAGCUUUUGAUGAUACAGGCCUGUUCUAGGAAAAUAAGGUUGUACCAUUAACAUCCAACAGAUUGCAGCCUCUGCUGAAACUGUUAGUGUAUGAAAAUCGGCCUUUAUUUUCUAGUUAAUGACAGCAGAAUCCUGUUGGCCUACUCAAUAAUGUCAAGUUCAUCAUUUAUAAGCCACACUACUGACUUUCUGUGCUUCAUUAUAUCAUUUCCCUGCUUGGCCUGCUCCUUGAGCUGCCAGCUUGUCAUACUUUACAGAGGAAGAUAAUAAAAGCCAUACUUUCUCAGAGUAAAUGUCCAUCUGGCUCAGCAUCCUGUCUCUGGGCGGUGGCCAAGACAGGAUGCCCAGGGAGCUGCAUCAGACAUCCAAGGAAGAGAUCACACGUCUAGAAAGCAGCAGAGGAGAGGCUGAGCCUGGGGUCCUGGUGACCUUCAGGCACCUGGAAAAGGCCGGGGCUGGGUUGUUACUCCCAGCUCACAAGUUAGGAAAACAGAGAAGUCCCUGGCGGAGCAGCUUUUGGAGUGUAACUCACUGGUGAACUGCAGCUCUUUCCUGCCUGCAAUCACAUCCCUAAAGUGACAUAUCUCCUGUUUCUCUUGGCUGGGCAGAGUCUGGCAGGUAGCUAGGCUAGGCUGGCUGCUCUUGCCAAAGAGCUGGCUGUGGAGCCACUGCGUUCUUUCUUUCAAGCACUUGAAUCUGGCUAUUGCCUUAUUAGCGAAUGUCCAUGAAUACAUAGCCUCUCAAUCUUAUAAAAAUUAAAACAAAAAGUUGCCACUGAGUACAGGGGAUUCGGGGAUGAUUUUGUGAAUAGGGCUGUGCAAAUAGGAUGUUUACGGAGAUGGAUGUAAGAGAACGUCCUUAAAGACCUGUCCAAGCAUCUGGCUUUUCCAGCCAGGAAGGUGCUUGGAGGCAGCUGAGCCUAAUUCCUUACUGAAGUAUUUGAGCUGUGCCCUGGCUCCAACCCAUAUAGAAUCACAGAAUCAUUAAGGUUGGAAAAGAGCUCUAAGGUCAGUUAGUCCAACCGCCAACACAUCCCCACCGUGCCCACUAACCAUGUCCCUUGUUGUGAUAUCCACACAUUUCUUGAACCCCAUCAGGAACGGUGACUGCACUGCCUCCCUGGGCAGCCUUUGCCACUGUCUCACCACUCUUUCUGACAGGAGAUUUUUCCUAACAUGUGGUCCUGCAGCUUCCCUAAGGCUGGUUCUGGUAAGUAUCUGUCCCCAGAGAAAUGAAGUGCAGGUAACCAGCUGACAGAGAACCCCAGCUUCGCAGAAACGGAGGAGCAGGAUUUGACCAGCUCAGCUUUGGGAUCUGUCUCACAGUGGCAAUGGGUAAAUGGUGAAGCAGGGCUCAAAAAUAUUUUAUGAUUUCAAUUUCCAAAAGUUUUACUGUAACAGGAGCAGAUGUCUGGUCCUGUGAACAACUAUUGCUUUACCUGCGAAGGUCCUUUACUUUCCCUACCAGCUCUCUGGUUAGAGAGAAUGAUGUGGAAAUGCAUUUUCAGGAAAUGAAAUUCUGAUAGAAGCCUAUGGCUCUUAACGAAACACACUUUUGUUAUGCUGUGGUUGCCUGUGGAGAUGUUAGCAGAAAGUCUUCACCUGCCAUUGUGUCAGUAGGGUAGGAACAACUUAAUUGCAAUAAUAACAAGGUGGUUCUCAAAGAAUAAAUCAACUCUGCAGUAAGCUCUGCCUUGAGUGUAGAUCAGUGACAUCUCCAAACAAUUAUUUAUGACACGAGUAGUCAGUUAGCGUGGGCUAUGGAGCAAAGUGACCCAGCAGCCAGAGCAAUUUCUUGCUUUAUUUCCUACCCUUUUUCUUUUCUUUCUUCCUUUUUUUUUUCUUUUUUAGUUUUUUGGUUUUUUGUGAGUGUGUGUGGAGAAGAGAGGGGC